CGCCCGUCCUUUCCGGGAAGCGGCCAAAGGCAGGCUGAUUUGGCGAGCUCCGGCGGACGGCAUUCUCCGCCCAUUUUCCACGGGGGUAUUUGGACUGCUGCCGCCGUCGGUUCGACCUUGGCGCCGGGUCGCCCUCCCAGGCGGUCGGACCCCCCACUUGUCAGCUCGCUAGAUCUCUGCCUCUCCGCGACGGAUCAGGCCCGCUGCCCCUCUACGGAGGGGGAGGGGGCUCUUUGCCGGAAGCGGCGGGGACGCUUACGCAGCCUUCCCAGCCUCCGGGGCAGACGAACAGGGUGACCCUUCCUGCCUCCGGAUCUCCCAGCAACGACACUACGCCAAAGACUUCAGAUCGGUGAAAAGGGGUGCGGUGGCGCUGCAAAUUUGGCCUUGCUGUGUGUAAGCUACGUGUGGGCUCUCAGGCGCCUCGAUGCCCAUCCCAAAGUCACCCUCCCGGAGCUGGGGAUCUUGACCACCCUGCCUUGUCUUGGAGCAGCCUGGUUAUUGGAGGGCCCUGCAAGAGCAUUCCCUUGGCCUGCACUUUGGUGAAGGGGGAGCCCCUCCAUGGAGAAGAUCCUGAGUUCUGCUGCUGUCCAAGUAGAAGGUCAUCCAGAGACACCCACUAAGUAAGAAUAAAAAAAAUGACUGCAAAAGGAGAUCACAAGACCCUCGGACUUUGUGACUAUGAUAAAUAUGAGUCAGUUGCCAAGUAUCCGAAUUUUGAUCUCAUGAUCAGGAAGAGGCCGCAGUGGUCGUAAGUGUGAAAAACCGUCCUAACUCAUUUUAUUCAGAGCCAUUGUAACCUUGAAUGGUCACUAAAUGAAUUGUUGUAAGUUGAGGAUUUAUUUAAUUUAAUUUAAAACAAUAUUUAAAUUAAUUUAAUUUUGAUGACUUUAAAUAUCUAGACAAAUUGGUCAAUUGUUGAUUUCUACCACAACUGAAUAGGAACUGUGCUUCCCUGGGUUGCUUCCUGUGGGGGAGAUGGUGGAGGGCUGGGCUAGGGGAAAGCUUGGGGUCCAAGCCCAAGGUCGCCCCCUCCCCAUCCAGGAGAUAAAGCAAUGAAUUGCAAUGGGAGCUCCCAUUCGUGCAAGAGGUCAAGGGGGGAAAGUCUAUAGCUUCUUUGUAACGUUAAGGGAGCCUGCUCAAUAGCCCUCUGUCAGCUAUUGGAUAAAACUUCACUUGACCCCUGUUUCAGCCCUUACAAACUGUUGCUUUCCUUAGAUCAAUAUGCCCGGACAUUAUAAGGAGAGGAAAACUGGCAAGGAGGGGUUUGCUGGUGGUAGAGAAAGCAAUGGGAGGAGGGAGCAUUGAAACUUGGGGUUGCUUUCCUUGUAGGACCAAUUUGUUUCUUGUCCCAGAUCUAUUCAGGCUGCAUCUGUCCUAGUAGUUUAUUUUUUAUCAGUUGUUGCUGUCCUCUUUGAAGCCCCAGACACACUUAAAACCAGUGGUGAAAUCUGAACCUGUUUACUACCGGUUUGCUGGCUGCGCAUGCACACCACGCACCAAAUGCGAGGUGCGCGUGCUCAGUGCACGCCAAAAGGAGACAUGGGGUAAGUAGA